CCUCGAGAUAGUGCAAAAAUUCACAACGCGAAAAAGCGGGAAGAAAAUCGCGAGAGUAAGGUACAAGGUGUCCCUCCUGAACAGGGCCACCGGCGAUUCCCUCGCAUCGAAAAUCCUCUUUUUUUUAUCUUCAAAUCCCUCCUUCCAGAUUUGGCUGCGCGAAGGGAGGGGAAAUUCGGGCUGUCCACACCCUUGGCACUCACUGGCGGUUGGAAGCGGCUUGCAGCUGGACGAAAACGUGGCCGAAACGGGCACGAUUUUUCGGAAAACGAAGGCUCGCAGCAAGAGCAGAAAGACAGAAAAGGAGCCGGCACGACCGGCCGGCUUACACACACUGACUUCUGACUGGUCGAGCUAGGAUCGACGGAUGCGGUCCUGAUGCGUGCCACCGUUCCAUCCACACGCGUCCAUUAUUUCUUUCGUGUGUAUUCUCGCGUGUCUCGUGCCAACCUUCCGUAUCGGUUAAUUUUUCCUUUCCUUUGUCGUCGAAGGGGAAGAGACGAGAAGGGAGAGGGGAGAAGGGGAAAAGCAGAAGGGAAUUUUUCACGCGUGGCGCCACGACUUUCCGUAGAAAGUCCAAGUAGGAAGGAGAGGUUACGUUGAGACCGAAGUGUCGUGUUCGGUGUCUGUGGGUAGGUUUUUCUUUUCUUCUUCUUCUUUUUGUUUUUUCGUUUGUUUGAUCAAUCGAUUUGUUUUUGUUCGUUGCGUAGAAGCAACGACUUGUUGUUCGGGAUUAAUACGAGAGUAUCUUUUUCUUUUGUGACCAAUGUUUGAGUGAUUUGCAAAGGUAUUUAUUCAUUAUAGGUUAUGUUUUUGACUAGUUUUAGCUUGCUUUGGAUCAAGUGAGAAUUGAUCUCUGUUGAAUUUUAACUUUACAUCGUGAUGUAUUGAUAAAUAAAUUUUUUGAUUAUAUUAA